AUGGUCUCUAGAGAACCCGGGUCUUAUAGGAUAAUUUUGUUCACCGAUGAAAACGACAUGGAGGUAAUUAAUAUUUUGUUCCUUAUCUUCGCGUCAUGUGCGUUUACGACUGCAAAUAAUAAUGAGACUAAAGCAGCUGAGAAUUUUAAUUUGACUCGCAUCGUCUUAGAGGCAAUUCUUUAUUGUGGACCAUCUUUUGUCUGCGACAAAUCCUAUCUAGCCCACUUUAAUAUUUCAUACGAUGCCGAAACGAAAUUCAGCGCCUGUGGCCCAUGUCAUUGUAAUGAAGCUUGCGACAUGACCACAAACGAAUGUUGCCCCGAUGUAUAUUUCAAAUAUGGCUACAUGAAAUGCGAAGACCUCUCUUUAGUCAGAGGAAACAGACAGCCAAAAUUUUAUUCUGUCAUUAGUACAUGUAAAGGGGAUACUACUUUUAAUUUGUCCAGAAACUGUUCUCUCGAGCGAUCAUCAGAAGAGCUUAUUCAAACACCGCCCGUGACGAGCGAUAUCUCUAGAAGAACUUACAAAAAUAGGUAUUGCGCACUCUGUAAUAAUGUUACAGACUUUCAAGAAUGGACCUUUAAGUUGAAUUGUCAGAGAGCUACUGAUUUCAAUUACAUAUCAACAUACACGGAAAUCAUCCAACUGGCCAAAGACAGAAAUUGCGACAUUCACUUUUCUGCGACGUCUUUGUCUAUUCAAACGUGUCCCAUGUUAAACGAAAAAAUGAUUGCCUCGUGCAACGUAUCAGGAACCUGGCAAGUAUACGACGAAAUGAUAGAAUUAGCUUGUCUUAGCGGUUAUCACACUUCAGUAAAUGGUUACAUUGGAUUUUCAUAUCGUUACGGCUUCAAAAACAUUUUCUGUGCAAUGUGUAACCCCCCAAAAUUUGACCUAAAAAUGUACAGAAAAACUUGUACGGACACUAACAGUAUAUACUACGCUGCUUGCAAAAAUAACCCAAUUGUAGAGGCAAGUUUUCCGUUCAGGAACCACUUUUGUCUGACUUGCAACAAUGGUGACCAAAAAAAUGUUUUACAAGAAAUGCAUAUCGAAAAUAUUGAGGAGUCAUAUGAAACAUCAAAGGUGCAUCCAUUUGUCACAAAGUUAGGUUUCAGUUUUAAAAGAAAUUACCUGAAGGAGUAUGUAAACCGGAAGACGAGUGAAUGGUAUAACGUCACUCAGCAUUAUUCACAUCUAGUUUCAUUUCCUGUAAACGUUUCUCGUCUUGUGCGUUCAAACUUUGCUCUCUUGGGAGAAGGUUCUUGUAACAAGAACUUGUUACCAAAUUACACCAUACCUUUACAACGUACAUGCUCCUGUGAUAUUGGUUGCACGAUCGACUGCUGUGUCGACUUUGCUUUAAUACAGCCAUGGACUUGCAUUGAAGAUCAUUACCCUUUCCAAAAUGUAGUACCUAGUUCAGAUGAUACUAGGUACUUGACAAUUGGGGGGUGCUUAAGAAAACACGACAAUGUCGAGCAUUUAUGUAUUAACCGUAACAAAUCUGACUUUUACCAAAUGAUUCCUAUUACAUCACACUUUGAACAUGGAGAAACGUAUGCCAACAUAUUUUGCUACCUAUGUAACCAAAAUGAAGUUGAUGAUAAAUCAAUCGAGAGCAUUACCACUGAUACAAUGCUGUGGUGGUUGAUUACAGAAUGCAAAGGAUAUAUAAACCAUAAAUACUUUUCAAUGUUACAAGACUAUUUGAAUUUUGCUGAAUUGCAACACUGUUGCAUAAAAUUCAAACCCAUUUCAAAUGCAGUAUCCUGCAAGACUAAAAACUCAAGUUUGGAUAAUAACAGUAUAGUCUCCGAAUGUAAUAGCUUGUCACCGUCUGAUGAAGAUCUUAAAUAUGCUUGUGAAAAAGUUGAUGAAUAUCGGUUUCCAAAAAUGAAACUCAACGGAACAAUUUACAAAAACAAGUUCUGCAUUGCUUGCAACUCCAUCAAGACACAAAUAAGUGAUGCUUGUGAAGUGUCAAGCAAUUUAACCUCCCUGCUCAAUAAAGCUUGCCAAGAGUUUCCAAAAAUGGCCGUUUGUUCCAAUUACCGAAAUAUUUUUUGUGAAACAUGUGCCGUCGGAACUCUUUCAGAUUGUUUAUCAAUUGAUGAGGAGGAUGGAGGAGGGACUCAUCCAAUAGUGACUACCCCUCCUCCAAUCAGAGUUUUUUCAUUUCGUUCAAUGUUUUCUAUCUUGGAUUAUGACAAAGAACCUUUGAUCAGUUCUAACACUCUAUCCUGUACACCAGAUCAAGUCUAUGAUGGAUAUUACGACACCUGUCAGAAUAUCAGCUGUUUUCCUGGAAAGUCCUAUGUUAAUCGCCAAAAGCUCGAAGAUUCUUUGAUAACAUUUACAAACAGUUCAUUUGCAAUGCCUUUUCAUUACUCUAACAUCUGGAAUGUUCAACUGGUGGAAAACCAGUUUGCGCUAUUCCUACCAUCCUUAUUGUGGAAAUCCAACUCAGAAAAUAGCUGCUGGCUUUUUCCAGAGGAGUUGAAACAUGCACAAAUAAUGCUUCUAGUUCGACAGUUCUCCACUCAUGAGGACUACAGUACACUGACCAUUGUUGUUUCGGCUUUAACUCAUUUCUCAUGGCUGUCCACCUUCCUUUGGCUCCAAGUUUGUUCUUAUCACAUGUUUGUAGUGUUUACCUCCAAACUAAGAAAGGAAUCCCGAAAAGAUAGCCCAGAUAAAAAUGUUGUCAAGUAUGCAGUGUAUGCUUAUGUAUCUUGCAAAACUAAAAGCUCAAGUUCGGAUAAUAACAGUAUCGUCUCCGAAUGUAAUAGCUUGCCACCGUCUGAUGAAGAUCUUAAAUAUGCUUGUGAAAAAGUUGAUGAAUAUCGGUUUCCAAAAAUGGAACUCUACGGAACAAUUUACAAAAACAAGUUCUGCAUUGCUUGCAACUCCAUCAAGACACAAGCAAUUGAUGACGAAGACGGAGGACCGACUCUUCCUCCAACGCCUACCCCUCCUCCAAUCAGAGAUUUUGCAUUUCGUUCAAUGUUUUCUAUCUUGGAUUAUGACAAAGAACCUUUGAUCAGUUCUAACACUCUAUCCUGUACACCAAAUCAAGUCUAUGAUGGAUAUUACGACACCUGUCAGAAUAUCAGCUGUUUCCCUGGAAAG
rnacentral:sRNA from 1 species